AACAAACGCUGGCGGCGUGCCUAAUACAUGCAAGUCAAACGGGGUAGCAAUACCUAGUGGCGCACGGGUGAGUAACGCGUGGAUAAUCUGCCUUAGAGUGGGGGAUAACUAGUCGAAAGAUUAGCUAAUACCGCAUAAGACCACAAGAACUGCGGUUCAAGGGGUCAAAGGUUUUUCGCUCUAAGAUGAGUCCGCGUAAGAUUAGCUAGUUGGUGAGGUAAUGGCUCACCAAGGCGACGAUCUUUAACUGGUCUGAGAGGAUGAUCAGUCACACUGGAACUGAGACACGGUCCAGACUCCUACGGGAGGCAGCAGUAGGUAAUAUUGCACAAUGGAGGAAACUCUGAUGCAGCGACGCCGCGUGAGUGAUGAAGGCCUUCGGGUCGUAAAGCUCUGUCGCAGGGGAAUAACACAAUGAAUGUACCCUGUAAGAAAGGAUCGGCUAACUUCGUGCCAGCCGCCGCCGUAAGAC
rnacentral:rRNA from 1 species